AGCCCCAGGCUCUGGGCAUCCCCAGGCUCUGGGCAGCCCCAGGCUCUGGGCACUGGGGGUUUUUACUAGAGACAUUUGCAAGGCACUCUGGCACGGCUGCCCAGCUCCACCCUGGGCUUGGUGAGGGCGGAGAGAGCCCGUAAAAAGGUCCCUUAAUGGGAGCUCGCACGGAUUAACAGACCAAGGUUAUAGGGGGAAAAACCAAGUGAUAUCACUCCCUACGCCUGAUGGUACCUGGUGUGAUCCUUCAGUACCUCCUGCGCCCACACACCCUCUUGGGAGUGAAUAUGGAGGCAGUUCUGGCUACGGCACCGCCAAAAUGUGCCGCAAUCCAAUUCUGGAGAAAGACCAGCCCUGUGGAGUCAGCGACACCACCCAAGGCAUCCCAAAAGCGUGGCCUGCAUGGCUUUCCCGCACCCACCUCAGGGUGGCUCGCCCAGCCUCGGAGAAGGUGAUGCCAGCACCAGCCUGCUGUGCUCCCAGGGGACCUCCCAUUUGGUGACUGGACACAAGCAUGCCCCUGAUGUGUCCCACAGCUACAAGGGAGCUUGCAGCUGAACUUCCCAGCACCUUUCACACCCGUCAUGCCACUUCUCUGUCACCUAACAAGCUGUGGGUACCUGCUCAGCAAGGAGUUGGGAUCUUGGACCAGCUCAGCUCUAGUGCGAUGUCCCCUCUCUGCCGGCCCUGGCUGGGGACCCUCAGCUCUCAGGUCUCCCCUUUGAAAGAGAUAAUUUCUAUACCACUGCAUCCACCUGCUGCAAAAGCUUGAGCCCUGUGCUCUUGUUUUACUGCUCCUGCCACAGCCUUUCUUUUUUGCUGUGUCCUAUCCUUUGACACGAGGGGACAGAAGUCCCCCUCAGGAUGCCUGCUCCUGGAGAUUGCCAUCCCCUCUGGUCCAGCAUGGCAGUGAGAGCAUGUGGAGCAGCCACUGCUGGCAGGCCCAGCUCUCUUCUUUCACCUGCUUCAGAUACUAUUCCCGCUCCCUUAUUGUUGAAAAAAUAAUACUCAAAAUUAAAAUGUAGGCAGCAAAUUAUAGUAAUUACCCAGCAGUUCCUCCUGACAGGCCUUUUGUAUUCCAUUCACUGACACUCACUAAGCAAAUCCUCGCAGUUUGCUCCUACACACUCGAGAAACAUUCAGCCAAUGGUGGCAGAAAGUGCAGCUCUGGGGGCACGGGGGGCACUGGCACCACAGGCACGCUCCUGGGGGUGACACCUUGGCUGAAAGGCAGCCAAGCACCAGCCUGGGCUGGCAGGGAUGGGACUGCAGUCAACCACAGCCUCACUCAGGGCAAGCGUGGCUAAUUUAAGCCUUGGACACAGUUGUGCCCUCACGGCACCCAAUCUCCCCAUCCCAGUUAAUUUUUACCAUGUUGCUUUGUACAGGAACCCACGGCACCCUGGACACUGGGAUGGCCAGGCUGGGCUCUCCUGGCUCAGAGCUGCCCUGGCACCCUGCCUGCAUAGAGGACACCUGAGACCCCAAGGCACAUCCCACCCCAAGGCCACCCAGAAGGACAACGUGCAAGGACGGGCAUGGGCUGCAAACCAGUUUCUCCAGCCCACUUUUACUACUAUGAGCAGGUUUUUACAGUUGUAAAUACCUCUGAUGGGAGAAGGGAAGGCUCCAACAUGAGCACAGGGGAGACAAACAGAGGGAGGUGUGGAGCUGCCAGCUCCCCAGCAUCACCCAGCCAGCUCCUGCAUUUCAAAGGUGAUGUAAGGUGGCUGACUUUAUUUUAGUUUUGUAAACAGAAUGAGACUGGGGAAAAAAUGGUUCAGGUCAGUCCAAAACUCAGAUGAAUUGUUGGCAGCACUGAAAAUAAGCGUUCAAAAGAGUGUCUCUGGUAUCCAAAGGAAUAUUUCAUAUCUACCCAAAAGGAACUAUAUAGGAGUUUUCAUGAGUUAUUUAACGCUCUGUCAUGGGUAUUUUACCACCGUGCCUAACCCUCCUCUGCCUUAUCAUGCUGACUCCAUCCCGUGGCCUCUCUGUGUCCUCAGUGUGGGAAAAGGCACAGGGAGAGCCCCAGGCUGGCUGUGCCCUGAGGACAGGGAGCGCAGAGCCCGGGCAAGGCACUGGAGGAGCUCAGCAAGAACCUGCCACUCGCACCGCCUCUUCUCAAAGAACAAAACCACUUGUUAGACACCACGGGAAAACCCCGAGCUGGGUGAGGACAGGUACCAGACUUUAAAGACUAACAAAGGUCAUGUCGAAACCUCCCGGUUCAUCGAGUUCAGCUCCAGGGCGGCUGCGGCUGCCCUGAAGCUGUGGCACUAGUGGUGACACUUGGUGGAGGGGCUGGGGGACAAUAAACUCACCCACCGCUGAGGCUGCUGCUCACCUGCUGCUCACAGACCCCCUUCCAGCCUACCUUGAACUCCUGCCUGCGUGGGCUCAUCCAGCAGGUCCCCCAAAGGCAGGAACUGCUUCAACAUUGCCUUUUAAGGAGCAGCCCCAUCCUGCUGCUGAAUGCCUCUGCACCCUGCCCGGCAGCAAAGCCGUGGGUGCUGCCUGCUUCCUGGCUUGGGAAGGGAAGGGGGAAAUCCUCGAGCAGCUCUGGGUAAAUCAAAACCUCCUGCUUUAAGGAUCACAGCCAUGGCGCAAGGAGAUAAUAUCAGAAAAACACAUUCCCCCAUCGUUAUCCCAAUCUCUGCACAUUUUGACAGACUACUGAAUCGAAGUUUAUUGCAUAAUGAAAGUGUCAUUAAGCAAGAACUUUCCUCUUGCUGGGUUUUUGUUCCCCUAUUUAAGUUUAGUAACACGGUACUCCCCUUCACUGUCUCCCCUGGCAGACACAAUCCUGCCUUCUCCUGAUUGGAAACUCCCUGUGCAGCUCUGUGACUGUGGAGGAGAGCAGGCUGCUCUGCUCUCUCUGUCCCAGGGCUGUUUUCUCACCUCCCUGAACACAAAUGACAUGGAGUUUCAUGCCACACACAAAGAAACCCAGGGGUGGACAGCAGGGCUGGGCUGAUCUCCUGGUCGGUGAGGGCUAGGAGCAGAGGUCACUGACCAUCCCCAUCUGCCAAAAUACCCCGGGGUGGUGGGGCUGACUUUCCCUGGGACUCACAUCUUGCUGAACUCUCUAAACCAGCCAGCUAUGGGCUCUUACUGGUGCCAGUAUGGAGCAGAGUGCUUUGGGUGGCCGAGUCCUUACGGUGAGGAGGACUGUGCCUAUGUCUCUAAGCCCAGCCCGAGCAGGCCACCACCCCCUCUGCCCCUGCCCAGCCAUGCUGGCAGCAGCUCUGCCACCACCUCCUCCAGCCUCUGAGGUUACCUCCGGAGUUUCACAGUUGCUGUGAGUCGGAAACCCCCACCACGCAGGUCCCUGGAAAUGCCAGACACAGCCAGUUCGAAGCAUUAAUGCGGCUGCUUCCUGGCAGAGGGGAAUUUGGCUCUUCUGUAGAAGUCUGGUGUUGCAAUCUCAGUUUCCCAGGUUGUAACGAAGGGAGAAACAAUCAGCCAUUGGGCUUUACACCAGCAAAUCUCCCUGCCUCCUCCUGGCCCCUGGGCUGGAAUAGUGCUACAUGCUCCCACGCUUCAUCCUUCCUUCACACAGGCUUUGGCAGCUGGUGCUGAAACUCCUUAAGCACACCUCCAGCAUCCAGCAUAAAACAAGAGGCACUUUUUAACAACCAGAUGCUGAUCUCCAAAAUAAAGCAGUGCUCGGAAAAUAUCCCACAACGACCCUCCCCUGCCAGCAUCUGCUCACCCCAUUACCUGGCUCCAGGCCAGUUUGCUUGAUUAAAGUCUAUCUAUUAAGUUUUGUGACUAUAGAGAGCCCUGUUCAGCAAUGCACAGGAUUGGCACUGGAUUGUAAAAGAGGGUUGGAACAGCUUAAAGCGAGCGAGCCAAACACUUUGGGAUAUUCACAGGCAAAGUAAUCCAAGUCCACAGCUCCCACCGGCACCUGGGCAGCCGGCGCUCCAGAACGUGUAAUCACCAGCGCAGCAGCAGGUGCAUUUUCCAAGCUGAGCCGAACCUGCUAACACGCCUAUUUGCCUUUGCCAUCCCCGAACGGCGCUCAUUUCCAUUUUAAUUUCCCAUUUACAAUCCUCUCCGGGCCAGGAGAGUCGGCAGCAACGCAAGCGGGAUGCACGGGCUGGGGACGUGAGCUCGACAGCCCAUCAACAGGACGUGACUUUGGCAAAAAAUUAAAGCAGCGAAAGGGCUGGCGCAGGAGCGGCACGAGGAGGGGAAGUGGCAAGAAGGGCUGUGCUACACUCAGCACUUUUUAAAAACGGUCUCAGCAAAGGCUCUGAAUCAGCUCCAGGAUGUAAAGUCACCGCACGCUGCCCUGGCUCUCGAGAGCUCCCCAACAUGUGCCUGCGGAGCGUUGGGGUUCACCGGCCUCUCCCUGAAUCCCAGAGCUGUGAGCACAGGCAGACACUCUCUGUGUGCCUGGAACAGAUCGCACCGAGGCCAUAAAGCUCUGAAGAGUGGGGUGAAACCACACCCCAUGCUGGGGGCACCAGCAGCUCCAACACUUCAGUGGACAACGCGCCUUCCCCAUUUCCUACUCCAGCUCCUGCCUCGGGGGACACGCGUGGCUCCAGCCACAGCCCAGGCAUCCCUGGUGCUGCCACAGCUCCUGGGGCUGGAGAGGCUGAGCACACUCCCUGCACCAUUCCCUGCCGUCCCCACACCCUCCCUGAGGCGCACUGGGAACACACCAACAGUGGGACAGGCAGGAUCCAGCCCCACAGCGGGACAGGCAGGAUCCAGCCCCACAGCGCAGGAUCCACCACACUGCCCCAGAGCCAGCAGUCAGAUUCCUUCCAUCUCCAAUUGCUGGGUUAGCUCCAGCACAGCCGAUAAAAGAAAGAAAAUGAGUGUCUCACCUUUUUUAGCCGUCUCCAUCUCCUCUUCGGUCCAGCGAGAGCUUUCAUUCAUUUCCAAGGAAGCUGGGAAGGAAGAAGGAAAGAGAGCUGUGAGCAGGAGCCAGCAAGCCCAGUGAGCUCAGAGGAGGUGUCCCAACACCCAAACCCUGUCCCAUGCCCUGCUCCCUGGAGGCAUGACAAAACCCCAUCCAUCCCACAAGAAAGGCUGUCACGGUGCGGGCUCAUGAGGCUUUUCCACGCCGCAGUACCUCACGCACAACAUCCCCCUGGGAUGCACCUCAGUGAUGCAAAACUCCACUUUGGGCCUGGAAACAAAGCCAGACGGCUUGAGAGUGGCAGCAGGUUUCCUGCUGAUGGUGUCCCGCACCCUGACACAACAACAGGUACCUAAGAUGGAGCUGGCUGUGGCUGUGUGCUUUGGAGGAGGCAGACGCAGGGUGGGACCGGCAGAGACGGAGAAACAGCGUCACCUCAGUGGUGACUUUGGCCGACUGCAUCUGUCAGUGUUGGCCACUGACAACACAAGGGUGUUGGCCCUGUGACUGCGGGCUCCCUCUGUGCCACCACUGGGCUCUUGGACAACCUCUGGGCCAUUCUCAGAGUGGGGCCCUGUCUGGAGCAGUGCCAUUGAAGGGAACAUGCUGCUCCAGCCAGGAGGCUGAUAGGGGUGUCAGCAUCUGAUGCUGCCUCUCUCCCCAAAUCCGAGCAGGUGCUGGGGACACUGAGGUCCUGCAUAAAGCUUUCACUAUGCAGCAGUCCUGCUGGCAGCCUGGCACAGAGCAAACCCUACAAUAACAAACUGGGGUGUGAGUCAGAGACAAAAAACAACUCGGUAAGGAAGCAGAUUUCCGGCUCAAGCUGCCAAGGGGUUAUUACUCUAAACAACAGGCAAAGCAUUAUUUCAACAGUGAUGAGAGAUGUUUUGACAGUGUCCCUUCAAAAUGGAAAACAGGCUGAUAGGUUCAGGAUAAAGAAUACAUGCAAGGAGAGAAGGAAGGAUCUUCGAAGAAGCUCUACAAGAAGCUGAGACCCUGUGGGAGGACAGCACGAGCUGCAAUGCCCACAGCACCGGGCAGAAGAAAUCUCCUUCAGAGCCGGCUGAGCACGAUUGCAGGUGUCACCUCCCGGAAGACAGCACAGGUCACUGCCUCCCUCAGAACCCUGUCGCCCCUGGGACACCAGCCAAGAGGGAGGGAAAUUGAUACCUCACCGCUUCCCCCUGGCAGCAGGCAGAGCCAGGGCCACAGCGCUCGUUUACGUAAAAGCCAGUGUCCCCAACGCCGUGCGGGCCCUUGGCUCAGCUGGUGAUGGCUGUUAUUGUAUGGCACAGAAAUGUCACAGAAACGGCCCGUUUGGUUUGAUUAAUGGCAUCGCCUGAGGUUGCACAGUUAUGAAACAGAUGCCUACGGGGAGCUCUGGCAUGCUGCAGUUAAACCACAAUACGGUUUUGUGCUGGUUUUUAAUGUUCAAUUGGUAUUUAAAAUGCAAUAACUUUCUUAGCCAACCUAAAUUAAAGCGCUAUUGGAGAGACAUAAA